rnacentral:sRNA from 1 species
UUAUUCUUCUUUUACAGUUGACAUUUUGCUAAAGGCUGUGGGAGACACUCCUAUUAUGAAAACAAAGAAGUGGGCAGUAGAGCGAACACGAACCAUCCAAGGACUCAUUGACUUCAUCAAAAAGUUUCUUAAACUUGUGGCCUCAGAACAGUUGUUUAUUUAUGUGAAUCAGUCCUUUGCUCCUUCCCCAGACCAAGAAGUUGGAACUCUCUAUGAGUGUUUUGGCAGUGAUGGUAAACUGGUUUUACAUUACUGCAAGUCUCAGGCGUGGGGAUGAACCACAAAGAAAAUCAACUUGCUACUACAUAAAAUGGAUUUUCACGGAAGAGACAGCUCUGAAAAGUUUUGAUGCUUGUGGCAAGAGACUUAACAGAUGUGAUCUAUUUAGUAUGUGUCUACUCUAUGUUUAUGCAUAAGAAAACAUCCAUAGCAUGAAUGGACUCAGAAAAAUGUGAUUUGUAUUAAUACACCAGUCAUCAUAAAAGAUGGUCAUGAUAGUACACCCAUUGCUCCUACUUGUUACUAUUAUUGCUGCAGAUCUGCCUCCAAGGUUGAAAAGGAGACUAA